rnacentral:rRNA from 1 species
CAAUAGCGUAUAUUAAAGUUGUUGCGGUUAAAAAGCUCGUAGUUGGAUUUCUGCUGAGGACGACCGGUCCGCCCUCUGGGUGAGUAUCUGGCUCGGCCUUGGCAUCUUCUUGGAGAACGUAUCUGCACUUGACUGUGUGGUGCGGUACCCAGGACAUUUUACUUUGAGGAAAUUAGAGUGUUUCAAGCAGGCUUGUGCCUUGAAUACAUUAGCAUGGAAUAAUAAUAUAGGACCUCGGUUCUAUUUUGUGGUUUCUAGAGCUGAGGUAAUGAUUAAUAGGGAUAGUUGGGGGCAUUCGUAUUUAACUGUCAAGGUGAAUGUGUAAUGUAGUUUUGUUAAAGACGGACUACUGCGAAAGCAUUUUGCCAAGGAUGUUUUUCAUUGAUCAAGAACGAAAGUAGGGG